rnacentral:ncRNA from 1 species
UAUCUGGUUGAUUCUGCCAGUAGUCAUAUGCUUGUCUCAAAGAUUAAGCCAUGCAUGUCUAAGUAUAAGCAAUCUAUACGGUGAAACUGCGAAUGGCUCAUUAAAUCAGUUAUCGUUUAUUUGAUAGUACCUUACUACAUGGAUACCUGUGGUAAUUCUAGAGCUAAUACAUGCUAAAAACCUCGACUUCGGAAGGGGUGUAUUUAUUAGAUAAAAAACCAAUGCCCUUCGGGGCUCCUUGGUGAAUCAUAAUAACUUAACGAAUCGCAUGGCCUUGCGCCGGCGAUGGUUCAUUCAAAUUUCUGCCCUAUCAACUUUCGAUGGUAGGAUAGUGGCCUACCAUGGUGGCAACGGGUAACGGGGAAUUAGGGUUCGAUUCCGGAGAGGGAGCCUGAGAAACGGCUACCACAUCCAAGGAAGGCAGCAGGCGCGCAAAUUACCCAAUCCCGAUACGGGGAGGUAGUGACAAUAAAUACUGAUACGGGGCUCUUUUGGGUCUCGUAAUUGGGAAUGAGUACAAUUUAAAUACCUUAACGAGGAACAAUUGGAGGGCAAGUCUGGUGCCAGCAGCCGCGGUAAUUCCAGCUCCAAUAGCGUAUAUUAAAGUUGUUGCAGUUAAAAAGCUCGUAGUUGAACCUUGGGUCUGGCUGGCCGGUCCGCCUCACCGCGAGUACUGGUCCGGCUGGACCUUUCCUUC